rnacentral:tRNA from 2 species
GGUGUGAUGGCUGAGAUUAGGCAGUAAAUUGUAAAUUUACCAACGAAAAAUUUUUCUUACACCA